CGUGGAGACAGGUGGUGCAUGGCUGUCGUCAGCUCGUGUCGUGAGAUGUUGGGUUAAGUCCCGCAACGAGCGCAACCCUUAUCCUUAGUUGCCAUCAAUUCAGUUGGGCACUUUAAGGAGACUGCCGGUGUCAAACCGGAGGAAGGUGGGGACGACGUCAAGUCCUCAUGGCCCUUAUGUCCAGGGCUACACACGUGCUACAAUGGGCGGCACAAAGGGCAGCGACGCCGCGAGGUAUAGCAAAUCCCAAAAAACCGUUCUCGGUUCGGAUCGGAGUCUGCAACUCGACUCCGUGAAGUUGGAAUCGCUAGUAAUCGUGGAUCAGCAUGCCACGGUGAAUACGUUCCCGGGCCUUGUACACACCGCCCGUCACACCACGAAAGUCUGCUGUACUCGAAGUCGCUGAG
rnacentral:rRNA from 1 species